rnacentral:rRNA from 1 species
GACGAACGCUGGCGGCGUGCUUAACACAUGCAAGUCGAACGGUAAGGCCCUUCGGGUACGACGAGUGGCGAACGGGUGGAGUAACACGUGGGUGAUCUGCCCUGCACUUCGGGAUAAGCCUGGGAAACUGGGUCUAAUACCGGAUAGGACCAUGGACUUCACGGUUUGUGGUGGAAAGCUUUUGCGGUGUGGGAUGGGCCCGCGGCCUAUCAGCUUGUUGGUGGGGUAAUGGCCCUACCAAGGCGACGACGGGUAGCCGGCCUGAGAGGGUGUCCGGCCACACUGGGACUGAGAUACGGCCCAGACUCCUACGGGAGGCAGCAGUGGGGAAUAUUGCACAAUGGGCGCAAGCCUGAUGCAGCGACGCCGCGUUGAGGGAUGACGGCCUCGGUUGUAA